rnacentral:rRNA from 1 species
GACGUAGGGUGCGAGCGUUGUCCGGAUUUAUUGGGCGUAAAGAGCUCGUAGGCGGCUCGUCGCGUCAGCUGUGAAAUUCCGUGGCUUAACUGCGGGCUUGCAGCUGAUACGGGCGGGCUAGAGUUCGGUAGGGGAGACUGGAAUUCCUGGUGUAGCGGUGAAAUGCGCAGAUAUCAGGAAGAACACCCGUGGCGAAGGCGGCUCUCUGGGACGGUACUGACGCUGAGACGCGAAAAGCGUGGGGGAGCGAACAGG